rnacentral:rRNA from 1 species
GUNAAANNNUAAGCCNUGCAUGUGUAAGUACAAGCCUAAGAUUAAAGGUAAAACCGCGAAUGGCUCAUUAAAUCAGCUAUGAUUCAUUGGAUCUGUACGCCCACUUACUUGGAUAACUGUGGUAAUUCUAGAGCUAAUACAUGCAGCAAGUCUCUGACCGCAAGGGAAGAGCGCUUUUAUUAGAUCAAAACCGGCCGGACCUCGGUCCGUAACCCACUUGUGACGAAUCUGAAUAACCUGUGGCUGAGCGCACGGUCUUGGCACCGGCGCCGCAUCCUUCAAGUGUCUGCCUUAUCAGCUGUCGAUUGUAGGUUACGCGCCUACAAUGGCUAUAACGGGUAACGGGGAAUCAGGGUUCGAUUCCGGAGAGGGAGCCUGAGAAACGGCUACCACAUCUAAGGAAGGCAGCAGGCACGCAAAUUACCCACUCCCGGCACGGGGAGGUAGUGACGAAAAAUAACGAUGCGAGUCUCAUCCGAGGCCUCGCAAUCGGAAUGAGUACACCCUAAACCAUUGAACGAGGAUCUAUUGGAGGGCAAGUCUGGUGCCAGCAGCCGCGGUNAUUCCAGCUCCAAUAGNNNNNNNNNNAGUUGUUGCGGUUAAAAAGCUCGUAGUUGGAUUGAAGUUGUGGAGUGACGUGUGUGCACCGCCCGGUGCUCUAACUGUCACGCUCCCAACNGNNNGAUUGGGUCGGCUCGCACGGGGUGCUCUUGAUCGAGUGUCCCGGGUGACCGGCAUGUUUACUUUGAAAAAAUUAGAGUGCUCAAGGCAGGCUACUUGAAUGGCCCGAAUGGUGGUGCAUGGAAUAAUGGAAUAGGACCUCGGUUCUAUUGUGUUGGUUUGCUGAACCAGAGGUAAUGACUAAUCGGAACAGGCGGGGGCAUUCGUNNUGCGACGCUAGAGGUGAAAUUCUUGGACCGUCGCAAGACGAACUUCUGCGAAAGCAUUUGCCAAGGAUGUUUUCAUUAAUCAAGAACGAAAGUUAGAGGUUCGAAGGCGAUCAGAUACCGCCCUAGUUCUAACUGUAAACGAUGCCAACCAGCGAUACGNCGGCGUUAUUCCCAUGACCCGGCGGGCAGCUUCUGGGAAACCAAAGUCUUUGGGUUCCGGGGGAAGUAUGGUUGCAAAGCUGAAACUUAAAGGAAUUGACGGAAGGGCACCACCAGGAGUGGAGCCUGCGGCUUAAUUUGACUCAACACAGGAAACCUCACCAGGCCCGGACACCGGAAGGAUUGACAGAUUGAAAGCUCUUUCUCGAUUCGGUGGGUGGUGGUGCAUGGCCGUUCUUAGUUGGUGGAGCGAUUUGUCUGGUUAAUUCCGAUAACGAACGAGACUCUGGCCUACUAACUAGUCAACGGAUCUNNNNAUAANNGUGUCCNGNUNNAUAUGUCUUCUUAGAGGGAUAAGCGGCAAAUCUAGCAGCACGAGAUUGAGCAAUAACAGGUCUGUGAUGCCCUUAGAUGUUCUGGGCCGCACGCGCGCUACAAUGAAGGGAUCAGCGUGUUGUCCCCCUCCGAGAGGAGCGGGUAACCCGUUCAAAGCCCUCCUUGAUAGGGAUUGGGGCCUGCAAUUGUUCCCCAUGAACGAGGAAUUCCCAGUAAGUGCAGGUCAUCAGCUUGCGCUGAUUACGUCCCUGCCCUUUGUACACACCGCCCGUCGCUACUACCGAUUGAAUGAUUUAGUGAGGCUUUCGGAAUGGCGCUCUUGGAUGUUCGAGUCNNUUUUCUCUUUCUAGGGUUGGGGGUUCGCCAAGCUUCGGGCUGACGGAAAGAUGUCCAAACUUGAUCAUUUAGAGGAAGUAAAAGUCGUAACA